GACGAACGCUGGCGGCGUGCUUAACACAUGCAAGUCGAACGAAGCACCUCUAUUUUUUUCUUCUGAUGAAGUUCUUGGUGGCUGAGUGGCGGAUGGGUGAGCAACGCGUGGCUAACCUGUCUCUUACAGGGGGUUAACAGUUAGAAAGAACUGCUAAUCCGCCAUAUGACGACAGCAGCGCAUGUUGCACGGGUAAAAACUGAGGUGGUAUGUGAUGGACUCGCGUCUGAUUAGUGAGUUGGUGGGGUAAUGGCCUACCAAGCAGACGAUCGGUAGCCGAGAGGAGAGGGGGACCGGCCACAUCGGGAAUGAGACACAGACCAAACUCCUACGCAAGGCAGCAGUGGGGAAUAUUGCACAAGGGGGGAAAACGUGAUGCAGCGGCGCGGGGUGAGAGAUGAAGUAUUUCGGUAAGUAAAGCUCUAUCAGCAGGGAAGAGAAUGACGGUACCGGACUAAGAAGCACCGGCUAAAUACGUG
rnacentral:rRNA from 1 species